GACGUAGGGCGCGAGCGUUGUCCGGAAUUAUUGGGCGUAAAGAGCUUGUAGGCGGUCUGUCGCGUCUGCCGUGAAAGUCCGGGGCUCAACUCCGGAUCUGCGGUGGGUACGGGCAGACUAGAGUGAUGUAGGGGAGACUGGAAUUCCUGGUGUAGCGGUGAAAUGCGCAGAUAUCAGGAGGAACACCGAUGGCGAAGGCAGGUCUCUGGGCAUUAACUGACGCUGAGGAGCGAAAGCAUGGGGAGCGAACAGG
rnacentral:rRNA from 1 species